rnacentral:rRNA from 1 species
GAUGAACGCUGGCGGCUUUCCUAAUACAUGCAAGUCGAGCGAACGGACGAGAAGCUUGCUUCUCUGAUGUUAGCGGCGGACGGGUGAGUAAAACGUGGAUAACCUACCUAUAAGACUGGGAUAACUUCGGGAAACCGGAGCUAAUACCGGAUAAUAUUUUGAACCGCAUGGUUCAAAAGUGAAAGACGGUCUUGCUGUCACUUAUAGAUGGAUCCGCGCUGCAUUAGCUAGUUGGUAAGGUAACGGCUUACCAAGGCAACGAUGCAUAGCCGACCUGAGAGGGUGAUGGGCCACACGGGAACUGAGACACGGUCCAGGCUCCGACGGGAGGCAGCAGUAGGGAAUCAUCCGCAAUGGGCGAAAGCCUGACGGAGAAACGGCGCGUGAGUGAUGAAGGUCUUCGGAUCGGAAAACUCUGUUAUUAGGGAAGAACAUAUGUGUAAGUAACUGUGCACAGCUUGACGGUACCUAAUCAGAAAGCCACGGCUAACUACGUG